UACGUAGGGUGCAAGCGUUGUCCGGAAUUAUUGGGCGUAAAGAGCUCGUAGGCGGUUUGUCGCGUCGAAUGUGAAAACCCGGGGCUCAACCCCGGGCCUGCAGUGGGUACGGGCAGACUAGAGUGCGGUAGGGGAGACUGGAAUUCCUGGUGUAGCGGUGAAAUGCGCAGAUAUCAGGAGGAACACCGGUGGCGAAGGCGGGUCUCUGGGCCGUAACUGACGCUGAGGAGCGAAAGUGUGGGGAGCGAACAGG
rnacentral:rRNA from 1 species